UUGCAUGCAUUAGACUUACACUUUCCCUAAUUGAUGGGGUUUUUGAACUGAAGCAUGCUAGAGAAACGUUAAUGGAGUUGACAGGGCCACCAGUCUUUCGAGCCCAGGCUGGAUUGGUAGUAUAAGGCUCCGACACUG